GCAAGCUGACCCUGAAGUU
rnacentral:misc_RNA from 1 species